rnacentral:rRNA from 1 species
GAUGUUCUAACGUGGAUCCGUAAUCCGGGUUGCGGACAGUGUCUGGUGGGUAGUUUGACUGGGGCGGUCUCCUCCUAAAGAGUAACGGAGGAGCACGAAGGUUGGCUAAUCCUGGUCGGACAUCAGGAGGUUAGUGCAAUGGCAUAAGCCAGCUUGACUGCGAGCGUGACGGCGCGAGCAGGUGCGAAAGCAGGUCAUAGUGAUCCGGUGGUUCUGAAUGGAAGGGCCAUCGCUCAACGGAUAAAAGGUACUCCGGGGAUAACAGGCUGAUACCGCCCAAGAGUUCAUAUCGACGGCGGUGUUUGGCACCUCGAUGUCGGCUCAUCACAUCCUGGGGCUGAAGUAGGUCCCAAGGGUAUGGCUGUUCGCCAUUUAAAGUGGUACGCGAGCUGGGUUUAGAACGUCGUGAGACAGUUCGGUCCCUAUCUGCCGUGGGCGCUGGAGAACUGAGGGGGGCUGCUCCUAGUACGAGAGGACCGGAGUGGACGCAUCACUGGUGUUCGGGUUGUCAUGCCAAUGGCACUGCCCGGUAGCUAAAUGCGGAAGAGAUAAGUGCUGAAAGCAUCUAAGCACGAAACUUGCCCCGAGAUGAGUUCUCCCUGAGACUUAGAGUCUCCUGAAGGAACGUUGAAGACGACGACGUUGAUAGGCCGGGUGUGUAAGCGCAGCGAUGCGUUGAGCUAACCGGUACUAAUGAACCGUGAGGCUUAACCUUACAACGCCGAAG